CAGCACCUCAAGUGGUCAGGAUGAUUAUUGGGCCUAAAGCAUCCGUAGCCGGCGCUGUAAGUUUUCGGUUAAAUCUGUACGCUCAACGUACAGGCUGCCGGGAAUACUGCAGCGCUAGGGAGUGGGAGAGGUAGACGGUACUCGGUAGGAAGGGGUAAAAUCCUUUGAUCUAGUGAUGACCACCUGUGGCGAAGGCGGUCUACCAGAACACGUCCGACGGUGAGGGAUGAAAGCUGGGGGAGCAAACCGGAUUAGAUACCCGAGUAGUCC
rnacentral:rRNA from 1 species